UACGUAGGGGGCAAGCGUUGUCCGGAUUUAUUGGGCGUAAAGAGCGUGUAGGCGGCCAGGUAGGUCUGGUGUGAAAACUCGAGGCUUAACCUCGAGAUGUCAUCGGAAACCAUCUGGCUAGAGUCCGGAAGAGGAGAGCGGAAUUCCUGGUGUAGCGGUGAAAUGCGCAGAUAUCAGGAAGAACACCAAUGGCGAAAGCAGCUCUCUGGGACGGUACUGACGCUGAGACGCGAAAGCGUGGGGAGCGAACAGG
rnacentral:rRNA from 1 species